rnacentral:rRNA from 1 species
GUAUAGGCGAUAGAAAUUUUUACCCUGGCACAAUAGACAUAGCACUGUAAGGGAAAGAUGAAAGAACUGCAUCAAGCACUAAAAAGCAAAGACAAGCCCUUAUACCUUCUGAAUAAUGUAUUAACUAGAAAUAACUAUACACAGAGAACUUUAGCCAAGUCCCCCGAAACCAGAUGAACUACCCAAGAACAGCUGAAAGAGCAUACUCACCUAUGUGGCAAAAUAGUGGGAAGAUUCAUGAGUAGCAGUGACAAGCCUACCAAGCCUGUUGAUAGCUGGUUGUCCAAGAUAGAAUCUUAGUUCAGCUUUAAACUUACCCACAGAAUUACUUAAUCUCCCUGUAAGUUUAACUGUUAGUCUAAAGAGGGACAGCUCUUUAGACCCUAGGAAACAACCUUCCUACAGAGAGUAAAAAAUAUUACCACCAUAGUUGGCCCAAAAGCAGCCACCAAUUAAGAAAGCGUUUAAGCUCAACAGCUAACUAUCUUAAAUUCUAAUCAGUCUACUGAACUCCUAACAUCACAUUGGACUAAUCUAUUACUUAAUAGAAGCAAUAAUGUUAAUAUAAGUAACAUGAAGACAUUCUCCAUUGCAUAAGCUUACAUCAGACCAGAAUAACCCACUGACAGUUAACAGCCUAAUAUUAAUAACCGAUAUAAUAAGCACCCUAUUAUUUACACUGUUAACCCAACACAGGUAUGCUCUAAGGAGAGAUUGCAAAAAGUAAAAGGAAUUCAGCAAAUCUUACCCCGCUUGUUUACCAAAAACAUCACCUCUAGCAUUACCAGUAUUAGAGUCACUGCCUGCCCAGUGACAUAUGUUCAACAGCCGCGGUAUCCUGACCGUGCAAAGGUAGCAUAAUCACUUGUUCCCUAAAUAGGGACUUGUAUGAAUGGCCAUAUGAAGGUUCAGCUGUCUCUUACUUUUAAUCAGUGAAAUUGACCUAUUCGUGAAAACAAAUAAGACUAGAAAACCCUAUGGAGCUUUAAUUCAUUAAUGCAAAUAAAAACUCAAACAAGCCUACAGGCCCUAGCCUACUAUCCCUGCAUUAGAAAAUUUGGUAGGGGUGAACUUGGAGCAUAAUUCAACCUCCAAACAACCUAAACUAAGAUCGCACUAGUCUUAGUGAGUUAAUACACAUUGACCCAAUAAUUUGAUCAACGGAAUAAGUUACCUUAGGGAUAGCAGUGCAAUCCUAUUCUAGAAUCCAUAUUGACAAUAGAGUUUACAACCUCGAUGUUGGAUCAGGACAUCCUAACAGUGUAGCCGCUAUUAAGGGUUCGUUUAGCAGUAGGGACGGGGGUUCUAAAACUAAGUGAGUAACAUCCUACCUGCUAUAUACCUCUUUAAUAUGUGGGUAUAUCCUGUCAACUGUAUCUCUAGCUCCUUGGAGGAAGCAGGUUUGAUAUAAGAGAAAUGAAAAUAUGUAAAUGGAAGAUUAAGGUCUGGUUGAGGUGUAACAAUUUUUAUUCUGUUUUCAGUCCAUAUUC